AACGAACGCUGGCGGCAUGCCUAACACAUGCAAGUCGAACGAAGGCUUCGGCCUUAGUGGCGCACGGGUGCGGAACGCGUGGGAAUCUGCCCCUCGGUUCGGAAUAACAGUUAGAAAUGACUGCUAAUACCGGAUGAUGACUUCGGUCCAAAGAUUUAUCGCCGAGGGAUGAGCCCGCGUAAGAUUAGGUAGUUGGUGGGGUAAAGGCCUACCAAGCCGACGAUCUUUAGCUGGUCUGAGAGGAUGAUCAGCAACACUGGGACUGAGACACGGGACAGAAUCGUACGGGAGGCAGAAGUGGGGAAUAUUGGACAAUCGGCGAAAGCUUGAUCCAGCAAUGCCGCGUGAGUGAUGAAUGCCUUAGGGUUGUAAAGCUCUUUUACCAGGGAUGAUAAUGACAGUACCUGGAGAAUAAGCUCCGGCUAACUCCGUGCCAGCCGCCGCUGUAA
rnacentral:rRNA from 1 species